rnacentral:rRNA from 1 species
GACGAACGCUGGCGGCGUGCUUAACACAUGCAAGUCGAACGGAAAGGCCCUGCUUUUGUGGGGUGCUCGAGUGGCGAACGGGUGAGUAACACGUGAGUAACCUGCCCUUGACUUUGGGAUAACUUCAGGAAACUGGGGCUAAUACCGGAUAGGAGCUCCUGCUGCAUGGUGGGGGUUGGAAAGUUUCGGCGGUUGGGGAUGGACUCGCGGCUUAUCAGCUUGUUGGUGGGGUAGUGGCUUACCAAGGCUUUGACGGGUAGCCGGCCUGAGAGGGUGACCGGCCACAUUGGGACUGAGGUACGGCCCAGACUCCUACGGGAGGCAGCAGUGGGGAAUAUUGCACCAUGGGCGGAAGCCUGAUGCAGCAACGCCGCGUGCGGGAUGACGGCCUUCGGGUUGUAGACCGCUUUCGCCUGUGACGAAGCGUGAGUGACGGUAAUGGGUAAAGAAGCACCGGCUAACUACGUG